AACUGCGGCAUCUCUUCACUCUCUUGGAACUCAACCACAACAACAACAAUGGCGAGCACCAAAGUUCAGAGGAUUAUGACUUAACUUGAUUUUCAGGUUUCUUCAAAGCAAAGCUCGCCUUCAAAUUUCGCUUUUUGAACAGAAGGAUUUGAGGAUUGAAGGCCAAAUCAUUAUAAUCUUCUACUUAAGGUCAGAGCAAUUUGUUUACACAAGGUCAAGACAGAUACAAAAGGUAGUUU